UAUCAACACGGCUCCCUUCCUGGUCUCCUACUGGAUUCAUCGCAUGUCCGGCGGCCAGUGGCAGAGGCAUCACCAUGAGGAGUUGAUCAAGGGCUGCUGAUAACCAGGUAUGAGGGACAUUAAUUCCACUCUUGUUGGACCAGUGAGCUGAUUACAGAUUUUAGGAUGCCAGUAAUUCUGUAGUUUGCAGCGACCUCCGGAUCAAUUGUGCUCCGGAGUCCAGACUUGAAAGUUACACCCAGGAAUAACACAAGUAAUAGUAUGUUAUUGCUAGUAAUUUUGCCUUGAGCCUUGCUGUUUCAUACACGCAUUCUGUAAACUCUAUUUUAGUGAUGGGGAUGGUUAUGUCACGCUUAACUGUUGGCAUUUGGUUUCUAGUUUGGUGAGGUGAUUGCUACAACGGAGCAUGAGGAAGCAACUAUAAUACUCCCUCCGUCCCAUAAUAUAAGAAUGUUUUUGACACUAGUGUAGUGUUAAAAACGUUCUUAUAUUUUGGGACAAAGGGAGUAGCUAAGAUUGAUUAUUCAUUUAUUGAGCAGAGGAGGUAAGCAGAAUAAAUCUAUUGCUUUUCCAUAUCGUUGUUCUCAGCUUUGUCGAAUAGACCGAUAUUUUUUCCACCUAAUUUCUUCCUCUGCGACAUCAAACGACGUGGAUAUCUUUAACAGUUGAUAGAUGUCCAGGGAUCGGGUUCCAUGUGGACUGUCAGGAUUGCUCGGGUAGGCAUGGGGCGUGAAGCAAGAAUCACUGAUUGCGAAGGCAAGCUCAUGCUUUGGUUCAUGAGAUGUUGUAUGUGCCACAUCUUUGCCUGUAGUUUGCAUUCCAGUCACAUAAUGUGUGAAAAGGAGGCAAAACCAAUAAGGAGAAAUGUAACUUGUAAAACUGCCUGAGUUGCAAAAUAAUCAAACCCCUAGGAAUAGAAAUCAUUUUUUUACUCAAACUUUUAUAUUCGAUGUUUUUGGUCUUUUUUUGGCAGGUGGAGGUUGUUGGUCUACCUAUUCGGUUACCUCUGUUAUGGUUAACAUGGCAGGCAGAAAUAGGUGUCCUGGAUUUUGUCAAAAAAAGAGAGAUAGGUGUCCUGGAUCAAAUGGACCCCAUUUUUUGGCUUGUUUUGGGCCUUAUGGCAGUGGAUGCUAUAAAUGGAUCAUCUAAUGUCUAAGAAAUAACUAACUACUAACGUUGAAGAAGACUUCACAGAUUGUGAUGAUCCUGGUGACGAUGAAAAUGAAGAUGAUAACUGAAAAUGCAGUAACAAAAGACUGUAAGAAGAGGAAGUUGAAAUAUAUUUGGAACCUUCCAGAAGAGAAUAGGAUAAUGGUUCGUUGCAAUGACCUUCCAAAUAAAUUCUGCUGCACACAAGAAUGCUGUUCAGAACUAAGAAACUUUGCUUGAGAAUGCGAGUGCAUGUCUGGGAGAAAAACUUCUAGUGCAAACAAGCUGAGUGUUGUCCAGACCAAAAAACAACAACAACAAAAUGUGCUGAUACAGCCUAUAAGAGUGCUCAAGGUGGUUCUCUGAGUUUGUUGGGUGCUAGUGAAGUACAUGUAAGAGUGCUCAAAUUCAUUUCAUACGUUCCCAUGUUUUGUCUUUGUUUCUUCAUGGGUGGUGAGGAUGAUUCUGCCAGUGGUAACUUUGGUUUUCUCUAUCAGGCAGGAACUAAAGUAUUCUUGAAGAGCCUGAAAAACCAUAACAACGACGUAGCUCUUGCUACAAUUUUAAGUUGUGAUCCUAAAUUUAAACUUGAUGGUGCUGAAAUUAGAAAUGAAUUAUGGGCAUUUCAUGUCAAUAUGUCACUUGUGAAAACUGAAAAUUUAGUACUGAGUCACAAAAACUGCAAUACUCUCGGUAAUGCAGAAAAACAAAGAUUGCAUGGCCUUCAACCUUUGUACGUGCUGAUACCUUAACUCUAUUACUACUUGCAUCAUGUCAAGGCAUUGUGUGCUAACAAUUCAUUCUAUUUUCUUGUUUGUUUGUAGAUUCAAAAGACAAAUGGAUGAGUAUAUGGGUGCAUGGCAAGUAUAUUGCAACGAUGAUGUUCAUAUUGCAGUUCAUGAUCAAGAUGAUGAUCGAUGCUUUCAAUUUUAGUUAAGUAGUAGGGAUGACGUUCCUCUUGGAUGUUGUUCCUCGGUUCAGUUUUAAUUAAGUUCUAGUGAUGUUGAUGGAUGCUUUUGGUUCAAGUUUCUCUGUGAAGAAAAUAGUUAUAUUAUGCAUCACAUUUGGAUGCUGUUCCUCCUGUAAUAUACACUAUUGUAAAACAACAGUUUCGUCUAAUAUAUGA